rnacentral:rRNA from 1 species
UACGGGGGGGGCAAGCGUUGUUCGGAAUUACUGGGCGUAAAGGGCUCGUAGGCGGCCAACUAAGUCGGAUGUGAAAUCCCCAGGCUUAACCUGGGAACUGCAUCCGAUACUGGAUGGCUUGAAUCCGGGAGAGGGAUGCAGAAUUCCAGGUGUAGCGGUGAAAUGCUUAGAUAUGACAUAGAACACCAAUUGCGAAGGCAGCUUACUUCACGAUCAUUGACACUGAGGCACGAAAGCGUGGGGAGCAAACAGG